UACGUAGGGGCGAGCGUUGUCCGGAUUUAUUGGGCGUAAAGAGCUCGUAGGCGGCUCGGUAAGUCGGAUGUGAAACCUCCAGGCUCAACCUGGAGACGCCAUCUGAUACUGCCGUGGCUUGAGUCCGGUAGAGGAGCAGGGAAUUCCUGGUGUAGCGGUGAAAUGCGCAGAUAUCAGGAGGAACACCAGUGGCGAAGGCGCUGCUCUGGGCCGGUACUGACGCUGAGGAGCGAAAGCGUGGGGAGCGAACAGG
rnacentral:rRNA from 1 species